UGCGUAUUUAUAAUGUUAUUUAUUAUUACAAAUAUAUUUUACAAAUAAAAGAGGACUAUUUUAUCAUUUUAAAGAAAACAUUUGCAAUUAGUUAAUAUUCUGACGUUAAACCUAUGACUUAACGCGUGACGCAUUUAUCGCACGUUCCACCGAUUCGAAUUCGCUCGAUUUCGUAUUGCCGACGCCAUCUUGAAUUAGAAAGUUUUCUGGAAACUGCCAGUUAUUUUUCCCUCCAUUUCGAGAUUUUUCGUGCAUGUUUAAUUACAUAAACCCAAAUAACGCAGGGAAUGUAACGUUUUUUAUUUAUAAGCGAUCAAAAUUGAAUACAGUAAUUGUCGAUAGAAUAUUAAAUAUAAAAGUCGUAAAUUUUCAUUUAAAAUAUUUAAGGAAGAAGUAUCAUUAUCAAAUUUCAUAAUCCACUUACCAGAGAGACAUGGAAUCAUUUUAAAAGCUUCUUGUGCUCAAAAAAUUAACAAGCAAAACAAAGGAAAGAUUUAACUGAUUGUGAGCACUUAAAGCCAGGAGUUGUGUGACAUCAUUUAGGCUUCUGACAUACCAAUAGAGCAGCUAUGUGACAUGUAUGUAUGAAAAUUACUUUGUGG